rnacentral:rRNA from 1 species
GAUGAACGCUGGCGGCGUGCCUAAUACAUGCAAGUCGAGCGGCAGCACGGGUGCUUGCACCUGGUGGCGAGUGGCGAACGGGUGAGUAAUAUAUCGGAACGUACCUUAUUGUGGGGGAUAACGCAGCGAAAGCUGUGCUAAUACCGCAUAAUCCCUAAGGGGGAAAGCGGGGGACCGUACGGCCUCGCGCCAUUAGAGCGGCCGAUACCUGAUUAGCUAGUUGGUGAGGUAAAGGCUGACCAAGGCAACGAUCAGUAGCUGGUCUGAGAGGACGAUCAGCCACACUGGGACUGAGACACGGCCCAGACUCCUACGGGAGGCAGCAGUGGGGAAUUUUGGACAGUGGGGGCAACCCUGAUCCAGCAAUGCCGCGUGAGUGAAGAAGGCCUUCGGGUUGUAAAGCUCUUUUGUCAGGGAAGAAACAGCAGCUCUAACACAGUUUGCGAAUGACGGUACCUGAAGAAUAAGCACCGGCUAACUACGUGCCAGCAGCCGCGGUAA